ACGGGUGAGUAACACGUAGGCAACCUGCCCUCAGGACUGGGAUAACUACCGGAAACGGUAGCUAAUACCAGAUAAUUCACUUCUUCGCAUGGAGAAGUGAGGAAAGACGGAGCAAUCUGUCACCGGAGGAUGGGCCUGCGGCGCAUUAGCUAGUUGGAGAGGUAACGGCUCCCCAAGGCGACGAUGCGUAGCCGACCUGAGAGGGUGAUCGGCCACACUGGGACUGAGACACGGCCCAGACUCCUACGGGAGGCAGCAGUAGGGAAUCUUCCGCAAUGGGCGAAAGCCUGACGGAGCAACGCCGCGUGAGUGAUGAAGGUUUUCGGAUCGUAAAGCUCUGUUGCCAAGGAAGAACGUCCUUAAGAGUAACUGCUUAAGGAGUGACGGUACUUGAGAAGAAAGCCCCGGCUAACUACGUGCCAGCAGCCGCGGUAAUACGUAGGGGGCAAGCGUUGUCCGGAAUUAUUGGGCGUAAAGCGCGCGCAGGCGGUCAUUUAAGUCUGGUGUUUAAGCCCGGGGCUCAACCCCGGAUCGCACGGGAAACUGGAUGACUUGAGUGCAGAAGAGGAGAGUGGAAUUC
rnacentral:rRNA from 1 species